rnacentral:rRNA from 1 species
CAGCAGCCGCGGUAAUACCGGCGGCCCGAGUGGCGGCCACUCUUAUUGGGCUUAAAGCGUCCGUAGCCGGGUUGGUUAGUCUCCCGGGAAAUCUGGCCGCUUAACGGUCAGAAUUCCGGGAGAUACUGCCAGCCUAGGGACCGGGAGAGGCCGAGGGUAUUCCCGGAGUAGGGGUGAAAUCCUAUAAUCCCGGGAGGACCACCUGUGGCGAAGGCGCUCGGCUGGAACGGGUCCGACGGUGAGGGACGAAGGCCAGGGGAGCAAACCGGAUUAGAUACCCGGGUAGUCCUGGCUGUAAACGAUGCGGACGUUGUGUCGGACAAGCUAUGAGCUUGUCCGGUGCCGGAGGGAAACCGUUAAGUCCGCCGCCUGGGGAGUACGGCCGCAAGGCUGAAACUUAAAGGAAUUGGCGGG